rnacentral:rRNA from 1 species
UACAGAGGUCCCAAGCGUUGUUCGGAUUCAUUGGGCGUAAAGGGUGUGUAGGCGGCGCCGUAAGUCGGGUGUGAAAUCUCGGGGCUUAACUCCGAAACUGCAUUCGAUACUGCGGUACUUGAGGACUGGAGAGGAGACUGGAAUUCAUGGUGUAGCAGUGAAAUGCGUAGAGAUCAUGAGGAAGACCAGUGGCGAAGGCGGGUCUCUGGACAGUUCCUGACGCUGAGACGCGAAGGCCAGGGGAGCAAACGGG